rnacentral:rRNA from 1 species
UACGUAGGGUGCGAGCGUUAAUCGGAAUUACUGGGCGUAAAGCGUGCGCAGGCGGUUUUGUAAGCCAGGUGUGAAAUCCCCGGGCUCAACCUGGGAAUGGCAUUUGGGACUGCAAGGCUGGAGUGCGGCAGAGGAGACUGGAAUUCCUGGUGUAGCAGUGAAAUGCGUAGAUAUCAGGAGGAAUACCGAUGGCGAAGGCAGGUCUCUGGGCUGACACUGACGCUCAUGCACGAAAGCCAGGGGAGCAAACGGG